UAGUCACAGAAAGAGAUCCCACCAGCUCCAUCAACAAAUGUACAGGAAGCACCCAAGGCACCUCCUCCUCCUCCCCCAGCGCCACCUAAGAUGGAAAGCAAAGCAGAGCCGGCGGUGAAGAAAGAGGACACAUCUGCAACAAAAGCAACGGCAGCAGCUGCAACAAAAGCAGAGGGAUCUGCCAAGAGCAAAACUAAAGACAGUGCAUUAAGCAAACUCUUCCGUUCAAAGCCUGUUGUGGUGGAAGAGAAAAAGCCGGUUGAGGUGCAGGUCGACGUGUCUAAGAGCAGCACUCUCGAGGCCGCCGCCAAACCUGAAGAACCUCCAGCACCAAAACCAGAGGAGAAGAAACUAGAGAAAAAAUCCACUUUUGGAAGCAGGUUCAAACCCAAGGCACCAGAGCCCAAGAAGGAGACUCCAGCUGCACCUCCCGUGGCAGAAGCCGCUCCAGCAGUGAAGGCCAAAGAGGAGGCGAAACCCACCGGCCCCGCACCGCAAGCGGCCCCGGACAACAAAUCAGCCGAAAGCUCAGAGAACGCCUCCCCCAACAUGCCCCGCAGGCUGGAGAAGAGGAACUCCCUUCAGCUGUUCUUCAAAAACCUGGUUAAGUAGAAACCCAGAGAUUCUCCACAAACGUGUGAGCAUUUGCAAUCUGUGUAGUUUAACUCUUCAGCUGUAUGUAGUUUGCCGGUUAAAUGCUGUCGAGAAACAUUUUGUAAUUCUGUCCGAUAUCUAACCAUCCUGAUUAUUUUGAUAUUGCUGGCUAUUAAUCUUAAAAUCAGUGAUCUUUGAGGUGAUGAAUUAUAAUUAGUGUGGUCAAGCGCUUAAUUGCAUCCAAAACAAGUUUUUUAUUAUGUAAACAAAAACUUUUAUUUUGAAUGCGAUUAAUCGCAAUUUAUCGUUUCACAGCACUAAUUACAAUACAAAAAUCAACAUUUACCGUGUAUGAACGCUAGAUGGCAUCAAUUACCAACCUAUCUAGAUUAUAAUAAUAAUAAUCAAUUCCAAAUCAGCUUAUUUGUAUUUUAAUAAAUGCUGAUUCAAAUGUAAUAAAUAUUUAAAAGUAUUUAAUUAAAUUGGACACAAAUAUAUUGCAUGAAAUCUAAUAAUAUUGCAUGGAAUCUCAUUAUAUAAAUAUGUGAUUCUAAUCUUUGUUGCAAUGUAUAACUUCUUCAUAAAUAAAAUAUACUUUUUGUCAUGUAAUAUAAAUAGAAUUGUCCCCAAUUAUGGUUAUUUCAAGCGGGAUCGUCCCUGUCAGUUAUCUCGGACAAAAUUGUCAUGACAACUAAAUUAUCACAGAUAAUAAAGCACAGAAAUUCUCCAAAGCUGCGCUAAAAAAGGACGUGUUGGAGCAAGAUCUGGCCCAGAUGUCAGGUUUUUCUUCAGGCACCAUUAUGGAUGAGCAGUAGAAAAACACACACUUUCUUGCUAAGUUAGGAUCUCUAAUGUUGCGUUAUGCGUUGGUGUGUCUCACAGGGCCAAAAACGCCAUAGUGACAUUUCGUUUGAGAUGUGGGUUAAUUUAUUUGUUCACUAUUUACUUUAUUUGAUUACUACUUGUUAUCCUUGUUAUGCACAUUUUUUGUGACUUCCUUAAUAUACUAAUAUAUUAAGUGUGUAAUAUCUCUAAUGUUGCGUUAUGCGUUGGUGUGUCUCACAGGGCCAAAAACGCCAUUCUGAUGCCGGAGUGCAAACGGACCCUGUGGCACCCGAGAAGGCCAAAUAAAACCCCACCUUUGUUUUGAUCGCUCAUCUGUGCCAAAACCAUUGGCAGCCAUGCGCAUAAGAACAUAUUUAUCAUAGUUGGGAGGUAUUAUGCUGACUUGCAAGGCCCAAAUUUGAAGUAACUAUCAAAUAAUAAUCCCCAUGCGUUUAGUGAGAGCAGAAGCAAGUGUAAUGAUGUACCCUGUUAAGCAUGUGUUUUCGACUGGAGGGAGGAACUUGUGUUGUUUUCCUGCAGAGAACCGUGUCAGAGUUGCGUGGUGUGGCAUGAGAUGGAAAAGUGAAAGUGAAAAUGUAAUCUUGCAUUUAAGAUGAACUCACUUUUCUGUGCAUGUUAAAAUGUAAAAUAUGUUAACUGUACUAACACUAUACUCGUAUCGCAUUGCAAUUCACAUGCAUUGCGCAUUAAAACCGUUGCAUUAAGAUGCCUUUUCACCGGGACAAAGCAAACAAUAUGCAUGUUUACAUGUGAAAAGAAAUUAUUUAUGUAAUCAUACACUAUCUGAUUGUGAAAACAAUGACCCGUCGUCUGCUUCUUUCAAUCACUGAAACCUACAAAGCCAGUUGAAAUUCCACUUAAAGUGCAAAACUUCUGAAUCACUUUAAUAGAUCCGUAGAAAUCAAAAUAGUUUGUUUAACAUAAUGUCAAUCAAAUUAAGCACCAUAUACCAACUUACUUGGUUAUUUAAGUUUUCAUUAAAAAAAACCUUUUUGUUUAUUAAUCAUAACUUACUAACUAAACCACAUUACAUUUAUUGUCUUUUUAUUUGCUUGGAUGUCCAGUUCUGACCAGGGGAGACUAAAAAGAAAUUAAGCUAGAUAAAUGUUUUAUUUUCUUUCUUAUUUUCUGAGCGUAUCACUUAGAGCAGUAUGAAAUACAUAUGUGGUGUACAAUUAUGCAAUAUACAAUGUACAUUCAACUCUCUGCCGCAGUCGCAUGUGUUUUAUGAGUUUCUUCAUAUUUUUCUCUACGUUUGUAAAGAGUAGAUGGGCCUAAUUCAGAAUUCAGACUAUAUCCAUGAAUCUUUCUGUAUCUCCUUUGUUGCAUUUUUGUCUAUUUAACCAAUUUAUACAAAUAAAAUAAUCAUUUCUCUCCUCUGUAAAAUGACUCAUUCUGUAUUUAAAACUAUGAAGAAAUAUAUAUAUAUAUAUAU
rnacentral:lncRNA from 1 species